rnacentral:rRNA from 1 species
UACGUAGGGUGCGAGCGUUGUCCGGAAUUACUGGGCGUAAAGAGCUCGUAGGUGGUUUGUCGCGUUGUCCGUGGAAAACUCACAGCUUAACUGUGGGCGUGCGGGCCGAUACGGGCAGACGUGGAGUACUGCAGGGGAGGACUGGAAUUCCUGGUGUAGCGGUGAAAUGCGCAGACUAUCAGGAGGAACACCGAUGGCGAAGGCAGGUCUCUGGGCCACUACUGACGCUGGAGAAGCGAAAGCCAUGGGGAGCGAACAGG